GAGAUUGUUAUUAAAAGGCCCUCUGAGUUUGAUCUUGCUGAUACACUGCCAUGGGAACUUCAACAUGAAAGCAGUCCUUUACAGAAAGCGGCAGAAUAUGAGAAGGGUGCUGGGGAUCUUGUGCUUGCUAAUGAAGUACAACAGGUCAUAGAUUUGGAAGAAGAAAACGAUACAGGCACUACUGAAUGCCUCACUGUCGAGAGCUCCUGUUACAGAAACUACACACAGCUGUUUGAACC